UCUCCGUUGGUGAACCAGCGGAGGGAUCAUUACUGAGUGAGGGCUCACGCCCGACCUCCAACCCUUUGUGAACCAAACUUGUUGCUUCGGGGGCGACCCUGCCGACGACCUCGUCGCCGGGCGCCCCCGGGGUCAAUCAAACACUGCAUUCUCUGCGUCGGAGUAUUAGUAAAUCUAAUCAAAACUUUCAACAACGGAUCUCUUGGUUCUGGCAUCGAUGAAGAACGCAGC
rnacentral:misc_RNA from 1 species